CUCCGGAUUCGUGACGGGCCUGGGCGGCUUCGUGACACUGCCAGUGACCGUUCCGGCGGCUCUCGGUGCAGCGUGGCUGAUUCAGGCGCGCCUGGUCGCUGCGAUAGCGAUCAUUCGGGGGUACGACGUCGACGACGAUCGAGUACGCACGCUCAUCCUUAUCUCGAUCGCAGGCGACGCUGCGAAGGAGGCUGUGAAGCGCGCGGGUAUCGAUCUGACCAAGCGCGCGGCAGCUGUGGCGCUGGCGCAGGUACCGGGCAAGGUUCUCAUCG
rnacentral:misc_RNA from 1 species